GUCAGACCUUGCCUAUGGGACCAUAGGAACUUAGCAUACCCCUCCUGUUUCUGAUGUGCAGUCAGUCAAGCUAGGAGAAACUACAUUCCUGCUGUGACCCUACUAUGGAUCUCUGGCUCCUGGGUUGGAUAAUUUUUAGUUUCCUGGAAGCAGGACAUACAGAACCCAAAGUCUUACAGAUACCAAGCCAUAAAGUAAUAGAUAUGGGACAGGUGGUGACCCUUAGUUGUGACCCAGUUUCUAAUCACCUAUAUUUCUAUUGGUAUAAGCAAAUCUUUGGACAGCAGAUGGAGUUUCUGGUUUCUUUCUACAAUGGUAAAGUCAUGGAGAAGUCUAAACUAUUUAAGGAUCAGUUUUCAGUUGAAAGGCCAGAUCGUUCAUAUUUCACUCUGAAAAUUCAACCCACAACGCUGGAGGACUCAGCCAUGUACUUCUGUGCCAGCAGCUUAGCCACAGCCUUGCAAAAACACCAUCUUCCUGAUCCCAAUUGGCAUCUGGUCCAGACCAUUUGA